rnacentral:rRNA from 1 species
UGGGGAAUAUUGCACAAUGGAGGGAACUCUGAUGCAGCGACGCCGCGUGAGUGAUGAAGGAAUUCGUUUCGUAAAACUCUGUUCUAUGGGAAGAAAAGGACUGUACCAUAGGAGAAAGCUCCGGCUAAAUACGUGCCAGCAGCCGCGGUAAUACGUAUGGAGCGAGCGUUGUCCGGAAUUAUUGGGCGUAAAGGGUGCGCAGGCGGCUUUACAAGUUGGAUGUGAAAUAUUGUGGCUCAACCACAAACGUGCAUCCAAAACUGCAAAGCUUGAGUACAGGAGAGGUAAGUGGAAUUCCUGGUGUAGCGGUGGAAUGCGUAGAUAUCAGGAGGAAUACCGGUGGCGAAGGCGACUUACUGGACUUAAACUGACGCUCAGGCACGAAAGCGUGGGGAGCAAACAGG